rnacentral:rRNA from 1 species
GGGGGGGGGGGCAAGCGUUGUUCGGAAUUACUGGGCGUAAAGGGCGCGUAGGCGGACGAGACAGUCUUUCGUGAAAUCCCACGGGCUCAACCGUGGAACUGCGGGAGAUACUACUCGUCUUGAGUUCGGGAGAGGAGUGUGGAAUUCCCAGUGUAGCGGUGAAAUGCGUAGAUAUUGGGAGGAACACCGGUGGCGAAGGCGGCACUCUGGACCGAUACUGACGCUGAGGCGCGAAAGCUAGGGGAGCAAACGGGAUUAGAUACCCCGGUAGUCCUAGCUGUAAACGAUGAGCACUUGGUGUAGCGGGUAUCGACCCCUGCUGUGCCGGAGUUAACGCAUUAAGUGCUCCGCCUGGGGAGUACGGUCGCAAGGCUG